rnacentral:rRNA from 1 species
ACGCGCGGAACCUUACCAGGUCUUGACAUCCUCUGACACUCCUAGAGAUAGGACGUUCCCCUUCGGGGGACAGAGUGACAGGUGGUGCAUGGUUGUCGUCAGCUCGUGUCGUGAGAUGUUGGGUUAAGUCCCGCAACGAGCGCAACCCUUGAUCUUAGUUGCCAGCAUUAAGUUGGGCACCCUAAGGUGACUGCCGGUGACAAACCGGAGGAAGGUGGGGAUGACGUCAAAUCAUCAUGCCCCUUAUGACCUGGGCUACACACGUACUACAAUGGCCAGUACAACGGGAAGCGAAGCCGCGAGGUGGAGCCAAUCCUAAAAAGCUGGUCUCAGUUCGGAUUGCAGGCUGCAACUCGCCUGCAUGAAGCCGGAAUCGCUAGUAAUCGCGGAUCAGCAUGCCGCGGUGAAUACGUUCCCGGGCCUUGCACACACCGCCCGU